UACGUAGGGGGCUAGCGUUGUCCGGAUUUACUGGGUGUAAAGGGCGCGUAGGCGGAUUAGUAAGUCGGUGGUUAAAGCGUGCGGCUUAACUGCAUUGAUGCCAUUGAUACUAUUAGUCUAGAGUUCAGUAGGGAGAGUUGGAAUUCCUGGUGUAGUGGUGAAAUACGCAGAUAUCAGGAAGAAUACCAGAGGCGAAGGCGAGCUCUUGGGCUGAUACUGACGCUGAGGCGCGAAAGUGUGGGGAU
rnacentral:rRNA from 1 species